GAUGAACGCUGGCGGCGUGCCUAACACAUGCAAGUCGAGCGAUCUUCUUCGGAAGAGAGCGGCGGACGGGUGAGUAACGCGUGGGUAACCUGCCUCAUACACAUGGAUAACAUACCGAAAGGUAUGCUAAUACAAGAUGAUAUAAGAGAUUCGCAUGGAUUUCUUAUCAAAGCUCCGGCGGUAUGAGAUGGACCCGCGUCUGAUUAGCUAGUUGGUGAGGUAAAAGCUCACCAAGGCGACGAUCAGUAGCCGGCCUGAGAGGGUGAACGGCCACACUGGAACUGAGACACGGUCCAGACUCCUACGGGAGGCAGCAGUGGGGAAUAUUGCACAAUGGGCGAAAGCCUGAUGCAGCAACGCCGCGUGAGCGAAGAAGGCUUUCGGGUCGUAAAGCUCUGUCCUAAGGGAAGAAAAUGACGGUACCUUAGGAGGAAGCCCCGGCUAACUACGUGCCAGCAGCCGCGGUAAUACGUAGGGGGCAAGCGUUAUCCGGAAUCAUUGGGCGUAAAGGGUGCGUAGGCGGUCUUAUGGGUCAGAGGUGAAAUCCUACGGCUUAACCGUAGUUAGCCUUUGAAACUGUAGGACUUGAGUGCAGGAGAGGAGAGUGGAAUUCCUAGUGUAGCGGUGAAAUGCGUAGAUAUUAGGAGGAACACCAGUGGCGAAGGCGACUCUCUGGACUGCAACUGACGCUGAGGCACGAAAGCGUGGGUAGCGAACAGGAUUAGAUACCCUGGUAGUCCACGCCGUAAACGAUGAGUGCUAGGUGUUGGGGGUCAAACCUCGGUGCCGCAGUUAACGCAUUAAGCACUCCGCCUGGGGAGUACGUACGCAAGUAUGAAACUCAAAGGAAUUGACGGGGACCCGCACAAGCAGCGGAGCAUGUGGUUUAAUUCGAAGCAACGCGAAGAACCUUACCUGGACUUGACAUCCCUUUGCAAGAUCCGUAAUAGGAUACCUCUCUUCGGAGACAAAGGAGACAGGUGGUGCAUGGUUGUCGUCAGCUCGUGUCGUGAGAUGUUGGGUUAAGUCCCGCAACGAGCGCAACCCUCGUCAUUAGUUGCCAUCAGUUAGGCUGGGCACUCUAGUGAGACUGCCAAGGUAAACUUGGAGGAAGGUGGGGAGGACGUCAAAUCAUCAUGCCCCUUAUGUUCAGGGCUACACACGUGCUACAAUGGCCGAUACAACGGGCAGCCAAGGAGUAAUCCGGAGCAAAUCCUAAAAAAUCGGUCCCAGUUCGGAUUGUGGGCUGCAACUCGCCCACACGAAGUCGGAGUUGCUAGUAAUCGCGAAUCAGCAUGUCGCGGUGAAAAAGGGCCCGGGUCUUGUACACACCGCCCGUCA
rnacentral:rRNA from 1 species